rnacentral:rRNA from 1 species
AACGUCGCAAGACCAAAGAGGGGGACCUUCGGGCCUCUUGCCAUCGGAUGUGCCCAGAUGGGAUUAGCUAGUAGGUGGGGUAACGGCUCACCUAGGCGACGAUCCCUAGCUGGUCUGAGAGGAUGACCAGCCACACUGGAACUGAGACACGGUCCAGACUCCUACGGGAGGCAGCAGUGGGGAAUAUUGCACAAUGGGCGCAAGCCUGAUGCAGCCAUGCCGCGUGUAUGAAGAAGGCCUUCGGGUUGUAAAGUACUUUCAGCGGGGAGGAA